GGACCUCCAGAUACAUUCUUCUCUAAGCUCUAAACUCUAUCUCGAAACUCUGCUAAAAUUUUCAUUCGAGCACUCCAUUUCUGUUGAGGCAGAGUACUGACUUGAGCAUCGGAGGGUCUUGCCGGAGCACCCCCAACUUCGAUUUAGACUUCCUUUGUAGGUUUCAGUGGUGGAUGCGACCGCUCGACUCCAGCUUCUCCGACG
rnacentral:lncRNA from 1 species